UGUCGGUUUAAUUGGACUCAACGCCGGGCAGCUCACCGGAUAAGACAGCUGGAUGAUAGCCGGGCUGAAGACUCUGCUUGACUAGCUGAGAGGAGGUGCAUGGCCGUCGUCAGUUCGUACUGUGAAGCAUCCUGUUAAGUCAGGCAACGAGCGAGACCCACGCCAACAGUUGCCAGCAUGUCCUCCGGGAUGAUGGGGACACUGUUGGGACCGCCUCUGCUAAAGAGGAGGAAGGAAUGGGCAACGGUAGGUCAGCAUGCCCCGAAUUAUCCGGGCUACACGCGGGCUACAAUGGUCAGGACAAUGGGUAUCGACACCGAGAGGUGGAGGCAAUCUCCUAAACCUGUCCUUAGUUCGGAUUGUGGGCUGCAACUCGCCCACAUGAAGCUGGAAUCCGUAGUAAUCGCGUUUCAAAAUAGCGCGGUGAAUAUGUCCCUGCUCCUU
rnacentral:rRNA from 1 species